rnacentral:lncRNA from 1 species
UUAGCUAAUCUAAAAGAAUCUCUGACAUUGAAAUGGAUUUAAACAAUAAGAUGGCUCAGACUUCAAACAGGAGAAAGAUUCAAAGAACUGCAUACUGUAUCUUGAACUAAAAAGUUAAAAGUUGAUUCUAUGAUGCCAAGUGUUCUACAUGAAAGACUAAGGAGUCUAGAUCUCUAUUACAGCAUGCAGUAAACCAACAAAAGCAAGUACAUAAUUAAAACGUUAUAAUCACGAAGAACAGCUUAAGUUUUUAAGCUAGCUGAAUUCUAAACAGAGUACCAAAGCAUUGGUGUCACCCUCUUCCUAUAAAGUUAAAUUUCAACAAAUGUUUUGGGUUCACAUGUAUUUUGCUCAGAAGACUUGACGCGACGAGGAACCAUGUUGCCUCCUAUUUGGAUUCAAUCCCAAGCAUGCUUAAAGCAUUGUCUUCUAAAAACAUAAGAGGAGGGUACCCCUGUUGUUCUUGAAUUUUUGUUGCUUGUCUUUGUAAACAAAGAAUAGUGCAAGAAAGUUUCACAGUUGAAAAUAUAAUAAAAACAUAAGUCUCAAGUCAUCAUCUUACUCAAGGGUAACCAAACAUAACCUGAGAUGGAGAGAUAACCAUUGAAUGAUAUACCUUUAAGAAUAAGGAACAUAAACUCAAAUCACUUGCAUUUUCUAUCAUAGAUGGUUAA